AACGAACGCUGGCGGCAGGCUUAACACAUGCAAGUCGAGCGCCCCGCAAGGGGAGCGGCAGACGGGUGAGUAACGCGUGGGAACGUACCCUUAUCUUCGGAAUAGCUCCGGGAAACUGGAAUUAAUACCGAAUGUGCCCUUUGGGGGAAAGAUUUAUCGGAUAAGGAUCGGCCCGCGUUGGAUUAGCUAGUUGGUGGGGUAAAGGCCUACCAAGGCGACGAUCCAUAGCUGGUCUGAGAGGAUGAUCAGCCACAUUGGGACUGAGACACGGCCCAAACUCCUACGGGAGGCAGCAGUGGGGAAUAUUGGACAAUGGGCGCAAGCUUGAUCCAGCCAUGCCGCGUGAGUGAUGAAGGCCCUAGGGUUGUAAAGCUCUUUCAGUAGGGAAGAUAAUGACGGUACCUACAGAAGAAGCCCCGGCUAACUUCGUGCCAGCCGCCGCAGUAAUAC
rnacentral:rRNA from 1 species